AGGAUUGUUGGCAGCAGAUUCCCACCACCACAGACAUCUACAUAAGCAGAUGCAGGAAAAGGGCCUCUUCUAUCUGAAAAGAUGCUACUGACCCAGCCCACACUGACCUCCUCCCCUUGGGCUGUGGACCAUCAAGAGCAGAACCACCAGACUAAAUAACAACUUCUUCCCGGAGGUUGUAAGACUGUUUUGAACUCUGUGCUUUGUAGACUCAGCUGCUCCCAGCCAAAGAGCUUAACAUGACUGAGUUUGCAGAGACAUGAAAAACCCGGCUGUGUGUGUGGAGGACGGUGAAAAGUGCCUGAGAGACAUAGCGGAUAUUUUACAC